AGUCACAAUUCCUCUGAGACCCUGAGAUCCUGGUGUGACCAAGCUUCUGGGAUGCUGGGAUCCUGGAAUCCUAAGAUCCUGGGCAUGUUAAAGCGCCUGGAAAUGGUACCUCCUCUGGAGACCAAGGGGCUGUCUGCUGUGUUCAAAAUCAAGCUGCAUCUCUAACAGAUGAGUGUUGAUCUCUGUUACACUAAAGUGUAUGUGUGCACAUGAAUGCAGGCACUCAUGGGGACCAAAAGAGGCUCUCCUUCCAGGUACACACUUCUCCUUGGCCACUGGCAGCUACAGAAUCAUAUAUGUUAAAAAUACUUCGUGCCAGCAGAAGAAUCCAGCCUCUGUGACAACCAUAGAAAUGUGCUGUUCUUUAAUCGCUGGCUGACUCAGUUGUGGUGAACACCAGAGGAACAAGCUUUUUGGCUGUUUGAAUUUCAAAGAUCUCACUUUGAUACUACCAAAUGUUGGAUCUGAGAUUGCAGAGAGGAACUCUUUCUGGCUGAUGAGAAUCCUGUUAGGAUGAGGGCCUUCUCUGGACACAGUUGCAGAAAAUGAAUAGUUUCCUGAUGAGGGUCACUCAAGUUCUGAUGUGUGAGGAAUGUUCUUUAAAAUACUAUUAAAGAUAAUCUGUUAGUAUGUUAA
rnacentral:lncRNA from 1 species